AACGAACGCUGGCGGCAUGCCUAACACAUGCCAGUCGAACGAGACCUUCGGGUCUAGUGGCGCACGGGUGCGUAACGCGUGGGAACCUGCCCUUAGGUUCGGAAUAACUCCCCGAAAGGGGUGCUAAUACCGGAUAAUGCCUUCGGACCAAAGAUUUAUCGCCUUUGGAUGGGCCCGCGUUGGAUUAGCUAGUUGGUAGGGUAAAAGCCUACCAAGGCGACGAUCCAUAGCUGGUCUGAGAGGAUGAUCAGCCACACUGGGACUGAGACACGGCCCAGACUCCUACGGGAGGCAGCAGUGGGGAAUAUUGGACAAUGGGCGAAAGCCUGAUCCAGCAAUGCCGCGUGAGUGAUGAAGGCCUUAGGGUUGUAAAGCUCUUUUACCCGGGAUGAUAAUGACAGUACCGGGAGAAUAAGCUCCGGCUAACUCCGUG
rnacentral:rRNA from 1 species